GGGGGCGUAGCUCAGUUGGGAGAGCAUCUGCUUUGCAAGCAGAAGGUCAGCGGUUCAAAUCCGCUCGUCUCCA
rnacentral:tRNA from 1 species